CUGUCACUGUCAUUGUUGGUUUUCAAAUCCUCCCUCUGAUCCGUCCCGUCACUCGUUCCACGCGUGCUCUUCGGCAAAGCUCAGCCCGCAGAGCCUUGACAUUAGAGCGUUUUAGGAAUCGUCUACCUGACAGCUCCCUAAUGAUUUCUUUUGGCCGCCCUGUCCUCGGCUGUCUGCUAAUAAGUAAUUACGGGCCCGACGCAGCUCGGAUCAGUCUUUCAGUGGGAACACAUUCAUCUGCUUGUGUGCUGGUGUUGGGUGUGCGUGUCAAAAUCACACUUUUCCUCUUAUUAAUCUCGGUUGUGUGUGUGCUCGCACAUUAAAACGACAAGUGGGACAGUGAUGAAAAUACACACCACCCACGGGAAAAGCAGCAAGAGAGGGCAGGAGAGGACAACGCAGCCGAUAUAUGCGUUUGAAAAUGGCAGGCCCUGAAGCAAGACUGUCAGUGCCAGUCCGCCAUGUGCCGUGUUCAUCCAAUCAGGUGCGGAGAGGGUUCCUGUUCCUGGUUCUGCGCCCCGGCACAGAAGAGCACUUGUCAGAGUAUCUGCCCUCAGUCGAACACAUUCCUCUGCCCAACAGUCCCCUUAACUUGAAAAAAAAUUAUAUUUCGCAAUGUUAAAGAAAGUAAAAAACAAAUCUUGGAUCCAGAUCCACACCAACAUUGAACAGGUUCUCAUCCUGACCCAUAGUGUUUCCUUCCAACAAGUUUCGUUGCAAUUCCUCCAAUAGUUUUUGUGUAAUCCUGCCAACUAAUAAACCAAAAAACUAGAUGAAAACUAUAAGAAGGUGAAAAAGUAUUUAUUUGGAUCCACACUAAAA